rnacentral:rRNA from 1 species
UACGUAGGGGGCAAGCGUUGUCCGGAUUUAUUGGGCGUAAAGAGCGUGUAGGCGGUUAGGUAGGUCCGUUGUGAAAACUCGAGGCUCAACCUCGAGACGCCGAUGGAAACCAUCUGACUAGAGUCCGGAAGAGGAGAAUGGAAUUCCCGGUGUAGCGGUGAAAUGCGCAGAUAUCGGGAAGAACACCCGUGGCGAAGGCGGUUCUCUGGGACGGUACUGACGCUGAGACGCGAAAGCGUGGGGAGCGAACAGG